UAACCUUAGGUUAGGUGGGAUUACCUGUCGAGUUUAAGCAUCUCAAUAAGUGAAGGAAAAGAAACUUACCAAGAUUCCCUUAGUAAUGGUAAGCGAACUAAGAAGAGCCCAUCCUGAGAAUCGAAUGCCCUCAACAUUUGAAUUAUAGUCUAGAUAAGCAUCCUUAGUGGUGACAAGGCCUAAGUCCUCUAGAAAAAAGCACCAGAGAGGGUGAAAACCCAUUGUGCCUGGACCUUAUUACAUCAUGAGGCGCUAUUUAUGAGUCAUGAUGUUUAGGAAUACAACCCCAAUCGGGUGAUAAAUUUUAUCCAAGGUUGAAUAUGAGCAAGAGACUAAUAACAAACAAAUACUACAAGGGAAAAAUGAAAAAGAUUUUGAAAAGAUAGUCAAACUGUGCUUGAAAUUGUUAAGAGAAAAGCAGAUAGGGGUUGGUGAUACACCCUGAUUAGAUGUAAAAGGGCGAGAGCCAGUCUACUGAUCAGCUCAGGGUAUGGACUAACAUAGGCCAUGGCAAUGGGCUAGCCUGGGCUUUUGAUAUACCUAUGAAGACAUCAUUGCCACAAUCAUGAAAUACAACAUGUGCCAUCGGUGUGCUCCUAGUAUCGACCUGUGGGCUUCCCAUCUAGCCUGCCUUGAAACAUGGACUAAAAAGUUUAACAUGUGUGCGAGUCAAUGGGCUAGAAAACCCAUAAGGCACAAAUAAGUUGAUUGGCAAGAUCCCUUGUGAGUGCAUCGUUGAUUGACCUUAACCUUCUGAGAAAGGUUCAAGUGUGAGCAUAGUUGUCAGGACCCAAAAGAUGGUGAGCUAUGCCUGAGUGGGGUGAAGCCAAAGAAAACUCUAGUAGAGGCUCACAGUGAUACUGAUAUGCAAAUCAUUCAUCUGACUUGGGUAUAGGGAUAAAAGACUAAAUGAACUAUCUAGUAGUUAGUUCCUACUAAAGUUUCCUUAUGAUAGUUAGAGCCCUUAGUGAGUUCUAUCGGGUAAAGCCAAUGAUUAAAGGCAUCAAGUUCGUAACACCCUCAACCUAUUCUCAAACUUUAAAUAGGUAGGAUGGCACAACUGCUUCAUUAAGCCGUGCCACAGAAUCGAGAGCACUAAGUGGGCUAUUUUUGGUAAGCAAAAUUGGUGAUACAAGAUGAACCAGAAGUCAGGUUACGGUGCUUAAUUGCACAUUAACCUAGAACCCACAAAGGGUGUUGGUCGAUUAAGACAGCAAAAUGGUGGUCAUAGAAGUCAAAAUCCACUAAAGAGUGUGUAACAACUCACCUACUAAACCAACUAGCCUAAAACAUGGAUGACACCUAAGCAUGUGACCUAUACUUGACCAUCGGGGCAAAGGCCAGGCCCUAAUGAGUAAGAAGGCAUGGUGGUCAUCGCAAAACCUAAGGUGUGAACCCAGGUGGAGUGACUGUUGGUGCAGAUCUUAGUGGUAGUAGCAAAAUUUCAAAUAAGAACUUUGAAGGCCAAAAAGAAUAAAGGUUUCAUGUGAAUAGCACUUGCACAUAGGUUAGUCAAUCCUAAAAGAUGGGGGAAGCCCAUUUGAUAGCACGUUUGGCAUGAGUUUUGAAAAAAAAUAUUGUUAAAAUUCUAGAUCUAGGAUAUGGCAGCUAAUGACAACAUUAAGGAGUCUGAAAAUGUUAGUGAGAGCCUCAGGAAGAGUUAUUUUUUUUGUUUAAUAGUUGGCCCACCCUAAAAAUGGCUUAGCUAGAGUUAGGUCUAAUAGUCGAAAGAGCAUCACAUGUCAUGUGCUGUCCGGUGUGCCCCCAGCAGCCCUUGAAAAUCUAUAGGACUAGGUACCAUCCAUAUUUAAUUGUACUCAUAAUCAUAUUAGGUCUCUAAUGUGAAUAACCUUUGGUCGAUGGAACAAUGUAGGCAAGGGAAGUUGGCAAAAUGGAUCCAUAACCUUAGGAAAAAGAUUGGCUCUGAGGGUUGGGCACGGGGUCCCAACCUGAAACUAAUCGGCUACUAGUGCACUACUCAAGCUGCUCUAGCAGUGAGAAUAGAUUGCCAUGUGCUGACCAAGGGAUGGACUAGGAACAGCUCCCUCGAGGGCCUUCCCUAGGUGACAAAUGGUCACCUCAUAACUAGUACAGACAAGGGGAAUCAAACUAUUUAAUUAAAACAAAGCAUUGUGAUGGUCCCUACGGAUGCUCAUGCUAUGUGAUUUCUAUCCAAUGCUUUGAAUGUCAAAGUGAAGAAAUUCAACCAAGCACGGGUAAAUGGUGAGAGUAACUAUGACUUUCUUAAGUAAACAAUUGCCUCGUCAUCUAGUUAGUGAUGUGCAUGAAUGGAUUAACAAGAUUCCCACUAUCCUUAUCUACUAUCUAGUGAAACCAUAGCCAAAGUAAUGGGCUUGGUGGAAUCAGUGAGGAAAAAAGACCUUAUUGAGCUUGACUCUAGUUUAACUUUUUGAAUUGACUUGAAAGGUGUAGGAUAAGUGGGUGCCCAUGGGUGAAAUUGAAAUAUCACUACUUUUAACACUAUUUUACUUAUUAUGUGAAGCAGAGUUGAGGCAUGGCCAUUUCUUUUAGACCUAAGGCUAGCCUCGGUCAGUCGAUUCGAGUGGAAGAUAUUGUUAGGUGGAAAGUUUGGUUGGGGUGGCAUAUCUGUUAAAAGAUAACGUAAGUGUCCUAAGAUAAGCUCAAUAAGAAUAAAAUUCUCAUAUGGAAUAAAAAGGUAAAAGCUUGUUUGAUUCUAAUUUCUAGUAUGAAUAUAAACUGUGAAAGCGUGGCCUAUUGAUCCUUUAGAUCUUUGAAAUUUGAAGCUAAAGGUGUUAGAAAAGUUACCAUAAGGAUAACUGACUUGUGGCAGCCAAGUGUUCAUAGCGACAUUGCUUUUCGAACCUUCGAUGUCAGCUCUUCCUAUCAUUGUGAAGUAGAAUUCACCAAGUGUUAGAUUAUUCACCCACCAAUAGGGAACGUGAGCUGGGUUUAGACCAUCAUAAGAUAGGUUAUUUUACCCUACUGAUGGUAGUGUCACAAUAGUAAUUCAACCUAGUACGAGAAAAACCAUUGAUUCACACAAUUAGUCAUUGUUUUUGGUUAAAAAGCCAGUGGCAUGAUGCUACUAUGUGCUGGAUUAUGAUUAAAUCCCUCUAAGUUAGAAUCCAAGCUAGAAGUCACCCAAUUGUUAACCUGCAGUAAGGGCCCAUAGCCCCCAAGGGCACAUGUCAUAGGUGUAGCCCUUGGGCAGACGAGUCAUGUGAGCCUCUUUUGAGCUUAAUUCCAACCAAGUAGUAGGUAGAAUUCUUUGUAGGUGACUUAAAUAUGCAAUGAGGUAUUUUAAAUGGUUGAGUGGCCUUGUUGCCAUAAUCCAUUAAGAUUCAAC
rnacentral:rRNA from 1 species